rnacentral:piRNA from 1 species
UUUGUUCUCACCCCUCAGUCGAGCCU